rnacentral:misc_RNA from 1 species
AUCGAUCAUUAAAGCACGGGUGUUGCAACCUACUGCAGUGAAUACGUUCUCGUCGGAAAUAAAGAAAGGACUUCCCGUCAAAUUGAAAGGCAGAUUGGUCUCCCUGUCGGAGCAAUUGGAGGAUAUGAUUGGACUUUUGACGUUAGCCCAGCCUUCUAUAGAAAUAUUGAGGAGCUCCAUUUUGAUUUUACUUAUAAAAGCUCUACUUUCUUUGCAUUCAAUCUCAAACGAUUCGUUGAAAUAACAAUCCCUAUUGCCCAUUCCGAAUGGGUACGGAAUUCUUAUAUUUCCGCAAUGGUCUGUAC